ACUAAAAAUACAUAAAAUGGAACAUAGUAGAGGGCAAGAGGCACACUUUUGAUUUGGACUCAAUAGAAGCGCGAGAGAAGCAGAGGAAGGGCAUUUGGUAAAAAUUGGGAGAAUCAGAGAUUCACUUCACUUUUGCAAAUGGCGAAUCAGAUUCGUCUUGAAGCAGUAUCUCUUCUAGUAGUCGUACUUAUUGGUGCCCAUGUCCUCGCUUUGGUGUACUGGAUUUAUCGGCUAGCAAAUCAGAAGCAACCCAUGAGGCUUAAAAAGCAAUAGCAUUUACUUCGUUUUUUCGGUCCUUUCUCCUGUUGAAUUUUAUGUUUAGGGACAUUUGAAUUGGUUGACAAUAUCAGUUGAAUGGAGUAUUCGGGUUUGUGUAUUUUAUGUUUUGUGCUUCUAUUGUACUGGGCUGUGAACCCCUUAGUCCCUUUUUAAUACAAUUUUUGGUUUUGGUUAAUGCUGGGUAACUUAAGUUAUUCCUUAAUUUCUUGAGAGUUUGGGUUCUUGAAAUUCCAAUAUUGUAAGCUAUACCUUUAUCGUACUUUCUAUUGUUGAUUGUUAUAGGUAUUUCAUUGAAAAGAAAGUGCUCUCUCUCUGUAUAUAUAUAUAUAUAUAUAUAUAGGGAGCACUGCUGCAAUUGAAAAGAGCCCAAAAAUCUGUAUCAUUUGCAAUAGCCAUGUUACACACACAAGCAAAAAAGUAACAAGAUGAAGAUUUAUUUGCUAUAGCUUGGCGCAGGCUGGCACUCAAUGCUCAAACACCCAUUCAUUCUGGACCAAAAACUAUUAUUUGUAUUGAGAAACUGGUUAUGCUUACAAUUAUUUUGUCUAACCUGCUGCCUGAAAAACCGGCCGAAUGAAGCAUUCCAACUUUAAAGGUGCUUUGUUUCCCCGGAUACACUUCAUGGCCAAAAGGAGAUGCUGUCAGGUAAGUCACUUUGAUGUUUAUAAUGUGCACUGACUGUGAAUUUCCCUUUUGCAUCACCCUUCCACAUAAGAGAAGAUGGUCUGGAAGAUGAAGGGUGCUGUUAUGAGUUUCCUAUUCUCUCUUUUGCUUGAGAAUGAACUGUGGUGGGGUUCUGUUCAGUUUCUUUUUAUAUUUGUUUCAUUUAAUUUUGACAUAUUUAAAUUGUGCUCUAUAUUUAACAUUGAAUUUAUGUUCUUGAAAGUCGAAUUGGGAAAUAUACAAUUAAGUCAGGAUAUGAAUAUGUGCUUCAUAGAGUUGCUUUAGCAUAUCUGCAUGAAAGGCCAAAUUAUGACCUGUUCCGUUGAACUUCUUCCUCUUCCCCUUGAGUAAAAGCAAAAUACAUUGUACAUAAAAGGCUAAAUAUCUACAAUAACCCCUUAAACUUGACACGUUUUGUGAAAUAACCUUACAAACUUAUAGAGUAACCAAGUUAGACACUUCUACAUGACAAAAAUGUGCCUUCUAAACACAUAGUCAUCAAAACCGAGCACAUGAAAAUCAUAUGCUGAUGAUGUAUCAAAUGUCAAAUGAAAUAACACUAUGCGUCAAAAUUGAAGAAUUUUUUUUUUUUAAUAAAAACAGGACCACCCCCACGAGACUACACCUCAACUGAUUAAGUAUAAGUGUCUAACUGGUCACUCUAUAAGUUUUUAAUGCAAUCUUACAAAUUGUGCCAAGUUUAAGGUGCUCUCUAGGUAUUUAACAUUAUUCAAAAAAAUUUAGUUCACAGGUUUAACCGUGGGUGAUGGAGACCCGAUGGUGUGAGCUGUUGGCCUUCUUGUUCCUUUAUUUAUUGGGGAAGAAGAAAGUGGGAAAAAUGGACCGUUUGGUGUUUGGCCUUGUUCAUCUGAUUCUGGAAAAUUCUUUUCCAAAUAUGGCAUCAUUUAGGGAAAUUUUGUGUCUGUUAGAUCAGAUUUCUAUCUUUUUGUUAUGAUCGUUGUGUACAGGCCAAUUUUCACACAACUUUAUUAAUUCCACGGAAUACCUGCCACCUUCCACCAGCAACAACAAGUACACAACAAGUACCAAGUAACUCUAUUCACCAAGGCUAGGAUAGAUGGGAAGUAUCACCUAGUGUAUCUUUUUGUCUCCGCUAUAUUUUGAAGUGAGAUCUCAGGGUUCUCAACCACUAGGGCAAACCCAUGGAUCAGAUUUCUCAUCAUUUCUUGUUAUCUUUUUCUGCAAGCUGGUCAAAUGGCAUUCAUUGGUUUGCAUGACAACACCUAAAGCGAAAUCAACUUCUUCUGCUUUUCAAUUUUAAUUUUAAUGGCAAGCAAUGUGUCUAUUACUGCUAAAAUGUAAUUGUCACUAGUAAUUGCCUCUAAAAACCAUAUUUAGUGGCAACUAAACUAUUGUCAUUAAUUAAUUGCCGCUAAAGAUCAUUUUUGGUGUAGUGUUAGGAGUAAAUUGGCUACUGAGCUUUUGUACUUAUGUGUUCGGUCAAUCUUCUAAGUCGUAUAUUCAUUUUGGUUGAUCACUGUAACUGGAAACCAACAUCCUAGCCCAACUUCAGUCACAACACCUGAAGAUAUCCAUACUUUAUACACUAAGAUGCUUGAGAGGCUGGACUUUGUUGAAAUCAUUUUUUCUCCUUUCUUGAAUUUCCUAAAUGUCUCUCCCAUCUCUGAGUAGGACUCUGUACAAAACUGAGGCUCAAGUUUGAGCUAGCACUUCUUAGUUCCCAUUAUGCCAAGCAACGGGCAGAUUAACAAAAAACGCAUGUGGAACCUUGUUGAGUUUCAAAUUUUAAUGCACCUAGUAGAAGUGCCAUUGCAAGGUUCGUGCUUCUUGUGUUAUAAAAUCAAUGUAAGCCUAAAAGAGUUCUAUUACUAACAAAAUUCUUUUUAAAUAUACUAAUAAUUUAUAAUGAUACAUCAUAUGCAGCAGUGAGUUUUAAUGUAAUAAAUUUAUUCUUUGCCAAACCGAAGUGUAUAUUUCACUUACUUCCUUGCUACUCUUUCAAAAUAACUUUUAUUCUCCUAGAAAAAUAAUUUACCACCUAAAAGAAAGGAACAAAUAACUUACAACAAACAUGACAAAAAGAGAAUCACUUUAAAGUACUUGAGAGUGCAAUUAUGUUGCAUUCAAACGUCAGGUUAAGCAACAUGCAAUGUUAGAAAACACAUGUGAAAAGAGAAAAAAAGGUUUUGGUGGAGUCGAGCAUAUUAUCAUAUACCUUGGGUGCGUUGGCAUUUACGCUUUCCAUCUACUACACAAAACCUUCAACUACGUGGAAGAGAACUCAAAAGCAUUUGCAUUUAUCUUUACUGUUUUGUUACUUUGAAUCUGGAAAGGCUUCUUCGAGGAGCAAGAGAAAGGUAUUGCUUACUUUCUGCUGGUUGUUUUAAUUUUCCAGUUUUGGUUCGAUUUUUGCUGUAGCGAGGACUUAUGCAUUUAAUGAUAAACUGGAUAAGCUCGCCGCCCACCUGCUGGCCAGGUGAAGUGAAGUUAUCUUUCGGUCAACUAUCGACCCAGUUAAGUGCACAAAACACGGUAGAAUCAUGCAAUGCACGCUGCUGGUGUGCUUCUUGCUAGCGAGGAAAGGCAUAAAGGAGACAGGGUUCAGUUCAAGAUCUGUGUGAGACUUAGAAAAAAAGAUUAUUUGUUCAGUUUGUAUUUACUGCUUGAGUGGGUUGGUUACUGUCUCUAUUGUGGAAGUCAUUUGCAGGUCCAAUGUAUGAAUAAAGAACUAACCUUAACAGAGAGAGAGAGAGAGAGAGAGAGAGAGAGAGAACGGGUAAGUUUUCUGCACUUAGGAUUUCGUUUGCAGCUACAUUAUGAAAAAAGAAGUUGUAUUGAAAAGAAAAUGACGCUGCUCCUUUCAAAUUCGUUAACUUCUAGAGAAGAAACCUAUCUCCUUUUUGGUCAAUUUUAUGGUUCUUUAGUUUGUUCAAUUUGCCUUUGAAGAUCCAAGGUACAAUUUUCUUGUAGAUAGAUAUGAAAUGGUUCUACAAAAUUAUGCUAUAAAAUGUCAAUGCUACUAUGUUGGAUUUGACAAUGAGCCAACCCUCUGUUCAUUUUACUUUUGGUUUCUAUAAUUCAUUAUUUUUUUUGUUUACUUUGUUUGCAUAUUUGGAAAUGUAUGUAUUUCAAUGAGAACAAUGAAAGUUUUCCUAAAUAUAUACUUCCAAGAAUAUCCAUAAGAGAAUUUAUGUAUAUAAUUUGUAAUUGUAAUGUCAUCUUUAAUGAUUCCGUGACAUUUUGUUUUCAGAGAUAUUGGUGAAUUAAUCAUCGUUAGUAAAAAAAGGUGGAGACUGAUUUAUAUUUUUGUACUUUGAUUUUGCAUCUGUUCCUUCCACUCAGGUACUAUGUGAUUGCAGUGAUUCAUGAAAUAUUGAUUAUUUUCCUUAGUAAUCACCCCUGUACGGUGUUUUACAUCUAAUUUUUGACGUCUUAAGCAGCCUAUCAUGCUGAUGUAUAUCAAUUUUCCUAUUAUAUGGUACUUCUGCCAUGUUGGUUUUAUUGUUCUAGAAACAUGCAAAAAAUACUUUGACAUUCUAUUCUGUAUUUCAAGUUGAAUUUGCAAAUUUUCUGGUUUUUGCUUCUUUUCACUUGUUUUUGUUCUACUUACUGCAACUCUAUUGUAAAAGGGGAAAAAUCGAGUGACAUCUUCUUGUCCCAUUUUCUCAUCUCUUGCUAGGGAAUUACCCUUGUGGUUUAGGAGAAUUGAAGGUGCUUCUACUAAUCUAAUGCAAACUUGCUGCAAAAUCCUCCCUGUGUUGUUUGAAUAUAUUCUGGUCUUGGUAUCUCCUUGUUACAUGUUCCCAUGCAGAUCCUUUAAAUCACAACUGCUCCUUCAAUUUAUUGUUGUUUUUAAUUGUUCAAUUUGUUAUGUAUUGGUGUGUGAUGAGUUGGUUGCUUUAGUACUUGGGCUGAUUGUCUCUUUCUUCUUUUUUUUUUUUAUAUAGUAAAGAAGAUAUUAUAUUAUGUGUUUUUUUUAACUAUGGAAAUUUUAUUAGAGAACUCACGCUCAAGUAACAAAAAAUAAACAGUCGCUGGACAUAGUCCCAGUUCUGAGUGAGCAUCCUUACUCCUUUACUACCUAUCUAGCUCUAGCAAUGAUAGAAACCAAGCUUGGACAAAACUCUAGACAAUUUAGGCUUCUUGGAAACAUAUCAGUAUGUAUCUUGGAUUAUCAAUCUCGCGAUUGUAGACAACGUUCGUUUCUUUUCUUGAAAUAUGACUUGGUUCAGAAUUUUCUCCAUUCUUGAAUUGUGACAUCAUUAUUUCCAAAUACUUAAUGUCCAGUGGAUAUGGAUUCCCCCUGCCACCCAUUUUGGUUCUUGUUUCUUUUCAUUCUUUGUCAUUUCUCCUCCUUCUGUGUAGUUGCUGAUAGAGUUACUCUAGGAGAGAUUUAUUAAAAUGGUGAUAACCUCACUUCUAAAGGAGGGGAUUUUGUGUUGGGGUUCUUAGUCCUGCAGGUACUAGUAAAAGGUAUCUUAGUAUGUGGUAUGUUGAUGUACUAGGGGUAUCACAUAAUAGGUAUUAGAACAAUUACUAGAUGACUUUUAUUUUCCAGUAUGAUUAAUGGUAUCAUCAUUAAAAAAAAAAAUACAAAGACUAUUAAGUUGAAUUCUCAUUGUACAAUCAAAUCCAUGUAUUCCAUCUACCUAAAAACUCAUGUAAUUAUCUUUCAGUAAAUUUACAAUUACAGUAUUGACAUUCAGAGAACAAAAACAAGAAAAGGCCAGACCCAAAAACAAAGCUCUCUUAUGUGUGACUUCUAUGGAAGGGUUGGAUCUCGUCAUGUUUACUAGCAGCAUUAGCUUGUAUUUCUGCAAGAGGUUUUUUCACGAUUGAUGGAACCGUUGUAACCAAGCUCCUUGCUCCCAAAAGACAUAACUUCAACUUGGUUGCACCGCUAGAACUAUAUGCUUUGUGAGAUGUUGAAGAUGACACUAGGAGAAAAUCAUUUUAGGAGAAAUAAAAGACACUAGUAAAAAUUAAUUAGAAGAAUUACAAUCAUAUGAUAUUUUAGAAAUAUAGAGAGGAACAAUAAACAGCGGAAGAGAAGAUUUUUGGAUAAAAAUUCUUUACAAAUCAUUGGCGAAAAAAACUACUAGAAACUCAUAUCUUGAUAUUGAUUAGAAAAGAUGCAGAAAGAGAACCUAGCUUUGUUGAAUAUUAGAUUAUUUUCUUUCAAAAAAUUAAAGAUUGUGGUUGAAGUAUUACAAGCGCUUCUGUUUAUUCUAAAACCAGUGGAACAUGGACCAUCAACUCUAUAGUACUAACACGUCUUUCUUGUUUUUUUUUUCAUAUUCAAGGUAAUAUAUACUUAUUAUUGGUAGUUAAUAUUAAAGCUAAUGAAUGAUGCUUGCUGGCUUAUUUUAAGAAUCGGAUUAAAUUAUUCAAUAUAUUUCUGACUAACUCUUUUGAUUUUGAAGGAAAGAAACAAGAAAUAUUAGCUGUUCAAAAUGCAUCGGUCGUGGAAGGAAAAACUAAUUUAGCUAAUCAAUCUUCUCAAUUAAGUGAAAUGGAUAUUUGGGUGCAAUCUGUUGGUGAAAAGAAAAAAGGAAGAGUCAAAGGUCUUGGCUCUUUGGGUCAAACUAUAAAGGUGUCUAAGAAAUCAACUAUCACUUUGCCAGAAGAAAUUGAUGAGAUGAUUAAGUGCAAGAUAGAUACUUCAAAUGUUGAUUUGUAUGCUCAGUUGCAGAACGAGCGACACAAAAAUAAGAAAAAAAUGAGGAAGGAAUUGGACUUGUUGAAGAAGCAUAUGUAUACAGCAAAUCAUCUAUAAACGAACGAUCAUCUAAUGAAGACAACCAAGCUUAUGAGGAUGAAAGUGAUGAUGACUCUAACAAUGAGAAUGAAAGUGAUUCUGACCCUGAUGGUUGGUAGUAGUAUUGUGGUUUCAAAUUUGAAAUAUUUUGUUUUGGACCAUUUUAAGAAUCAUACAUUAUUUAUGUGGA